UCAAGAAACUUCCACAAUGGGCGAAAGCCUGAUGGAGCGACGUCGCGUGAUGGACGAAGUGCUUCGGCACGUAAACAUCUUUUUAUGUGGGAUGAAAUUAUUGACAGUACCACAUGAAUAAGGGGCUCCUAACUCUGUGCCAGCAGGAGCGGUAAUACAGAGGCCCCAAGCGUUAUCCGGAAUCACUGGGCGUAAAGGGUGUCGAGGCGGUUGUAUUAGUCGUUCGUAAAAUCUACGAGCUUAACUUGUAGGCGGCGAACGAAACGGUACGACUUGAGGUUUGGAGAGGUGCGUGGAACUCACGGUGUAGGGGUGAAAUCCGUUGAUAUCGUGGGGAACACCAAAGGCGAAGGCAGCGCACUGGCCAAAAUCUGACGCUCACACACGAAAGCUAGGGUAGCGAAGAGGAUU
rnacentral:rRNA from 1 species